rnacentral:snRNA from 1 species
GUGUUUGCUUCUGCAGCACAUAAUUUAAAGAAUUGGAACAAUGCAUGGAAGAUGCAUGGAAGAGACAUGGCCACUGUGCAUGGAAGACAUACAAAUUUGUGAAGUGUUCCAUAUUAAA